GAUUGAACGCUGGCGGCAUGCCUUACACAUGCAAGUCGAACGGCAGCACGGGUGCUUGCACCUGGUGGCGAGUGGCGAACGGGUGAGUAAUACAUCGGAACAUGUCCUGUAGUGGGGGAUAGCCCGGCGAAAGCCGGAUUAAUACCGCAUACGAUCUACGGAUGAAAGCGGGGGACCUUCGGGCCUCGCGCUAUAGGGUUGGCCGAUGGCUGAUUAGCUAGUUGGUGGGGUAAAGGCCUACCAAGGCGACGAUCAGUAGCUGGUCUGAGAGGACGACCAGCCACACUGGGACUGAGACACGGCCCAGACUCCUACGGGAGGCAGCAGUGGGGAAUUCUGGACAAUGGGCGAAAGCCUGAUCCAGCAAUGCCGCGUGUGUGAAGAAGGCCUUCGGGUUGUAAAGCACUUUUGUCCGGAAAGAAAUCCUUGGCCCUAAUACGGUCGGGGGAUGACGGUACCGGAAGAAUAAGCACCGGCUAACUACGUG
rnacentral:rRNA from 1 species